rnacentral:rRNA from 1 species
ACGGAGGAUGCAAGCGUUAUCCGGAAUGAUUGGGCGUAAAGCGUCCGCAGGUGGCAGUUCAAGUCUGCUGUCAAAGACCGGGGCUUAACUUCGGAAAGGCAGUUGAUACUGGUUUCCUUGAGUGCAGUUGAGGCAGGCGGAAUUCGUGGUGUAGCGGUGAAAUGCUUAGAUAUCACGAAGGACCCCGAUUGCGAAGGCAGCUUGCUAAACUGUAACUGACGUUCAUGCUCGAAAGUGUGGGUAUCAAACAGGAUUAGAUACCCUGGUAGUCCACACGGUAAACGAUGGAUACUCGCUGUUGGCGAUAUACUGUCAGCGGCCAAGCGAAAGCAUUAAGUAUCCCACCUGGGGAGUACGCCGGCAACGGUGAAACUCAAAGGAAUUGACGGAGGCGUCGACGCGGCCG